rnacentral:rRNA from 1 species
GCCGGGGGAUGCAAGCGUUAUCCGGAAUGACUGGGCGUAAAGCGUCUGCAGGUGGUUAUUCAAGUCACUUGUGAAAGACUCUGGCUCAACCGGAGAAAAGCCGGUGAAACUGCAUGGCUAGAGUGUGGAAGAGGUAGAAGGAAUUCCCUGAGUAGCGGUGAAAUGCGUAGAUACAGGGAAGAACACCGGAGGCGAAAGCGUUCUGCUGGAACGCAACUGACACUGAGAGACGAAAGCUAGGGGAGAGAAAGGG